UCCCUCAUAGCUCAGUCGGUAAAGAAUCUGCCUGCAAUGCAGGAGACCCGAGGUUCAAGUUCUGCGUCAGGGAA
rnacentral:tRNA from 1 species